UACGUAGGGAGCAAGCGUUGUCCGGAAUCAUUGGGCGUAAAGAGCGCGUAGGCGGUCCGGUAAGUCGGUUGUGAAAACUGGGGGCUCAACCCUCAGAGGCCGACCGAUACUGCCGGGCUAGAGUCCGGAAGAGGCGAGUGGAAUUCCUGGUGUAGCGGUGAAAUGCGCAGAUAUCAGGAUGAACACCAAUGGCGAAGGCAGCUCGCUGGGACGGUACUGACGCUGAGGCGCGAAAGCGUGGGGAGCAAGCAGG
rnacentral:rRNA from 1 species